GACGAACGCUGGCGGCGUGCCUAAUACAUGCCAGUAGAACGCUGAAGAGAGGAGCUUACUCUUCUUGGAUGAGUUGCGAACGGGUGAGUAACGCGUAGGUAACCUGCCUUGUAGCGGGGGAUAACUAUUGGAAACGAUAGCUAAUACCGCAUAACAAUGGAUGACACAUGUCAUUUAUUUGAAAGGGGCAAUUGCUCCACUACAAGAUGGACCUGCGUUGUAUUAGCUAGUAGGUGAGGUAAUGGCUCACCUAGGCGACGAUACAUAGCCGACCUGAGAGGGUGAUCGGCCACACUGGGACUGAGACACGGCCCAGACUCCUACGGGAGGCAGCAGGAGGGAAUCUUCGGCAAUGGGGGCAACCCUGACCGAGCAACGCCGCGUGAGUGAAGAAGGUUUUCGGAUCGUAAAGCUCUGUUGUAAGUCAAGAACGGGUGUGAGAGUGGAAAGUUCACACUGUGACGGUAGCUUACCAGAAAGGGACGGCUAACUACGUG
rnacentral:rRNA from 1 species